AUGAACGCUAGCGGCAGGCUUAAUACAUGCAAGUCGAGGGGCAGCGGGUGUAGCAAUACAUGCCGGCGACCGGCGCACGGGUGCGUAACACGUAUACAAUCUGCCUUUAACAGGAGGAUAGCCCGGAGAAAUCCGGAUUAAUACUCCAUAACAGCUGAAUAGGCAUCUAUUUGGCUUAAAAGCUCCGGCGGUUAAAGAUGAGUAUGCGUCUGAUUAGCUAGUUGGUAGUGUAACGGACUACCAAGGCAACGAUCAGUAGGGGAUCUGAGAGGACUACCCCCCACACUGGUACUGAGACACGGACCAGACUCCUACGGGAGGCAGCAGUAAGGAAUAUUGGACAAUGCCCGCAAGGGUGAUCCAGCCAUGCCGCGUGCAGGAAGAAGGCCCUAUGGGUCGUAAACUGCUUUUGAACAAGAGAAAACCCUCCUACGUGUAGGAGGCUGAUAGUAUUGUUAGAAUAAGCAUCGGCUAACUUCGU
rnacentral:rRNA from 1 species